GACGAACGCUGGCGGCGUGCUUAACACAUGCAAGUCGAACGGAAAGGCCCUGCUUUUGUGGGAUGCUCGAGUGGCGAACGGGUGAGUAACACGUGAGUAACCUGCCCUUGACUUUGGGAUAACUUCAGGAAACUGGGGCUAAUACCGGAUAGGAGCUCCUGCUGCAUGGUGGGGGUUGGAAAGUUUCGGCGGUUGGGGAUGGACUCGCGGCUUAUCAGCUUGUUGGUGGGGUAGUGGCUUACCAAGGCUUUGACGGGUAGCCGGCCUGAGAGGGUGACCGGCCACAUUGGGACUGAGAUACGGCCCAGACUCCUACGGGAGGCAGCAGUGGGGAAUAUUGCACAAUGGGCGGAAGCCUGAUGCAGCAACGCCGCGUGCGGGAUGACGGCCUUCGGGUUGUAAACCGCUUUCGCCUGUGACGAAGCGUGAGUGACGGUAAUGGGUAAAGAAGCACCGGCUAACCACGUG
rnacentral:rRNA from 1 species